GCUAUCAUUAUGUGAGCAGAGUCUCUGGAUAAAUGGGAACGGCUGACAGUUGCUGAUGCCCUCGAGACGGUCCAGUUUGAAGAUGGCCAGAAGAUUGUUGUGCAGGGUCAACCAGGAGAUGAAUUUUUCAUUAUUCUUGAGGGUUCGGCAGCAGUCCUGCAACGGCGGUCGGAGAAUGAGGAAUUUGUAGAGGUUGGAAGACUUGCACCAUCUGACUACUUUGGUGAGAUCGCUCUGCUCAUGAACCGGCCUCGUGCCGCCACCGUGGUUGCUCGCGGCCCGCUGAAGUGUGUAAAAUUGGACCGUCCCCGGUUCGAGCGCGUGCUCGGCCCCUGCUCAGAUAUCCUAAAG